AGGACGAACGCUGGCGGCGUGCCUAAUACAUGCAAGUAGAACGCUGAAGAGAGGAGCUUGCUCUUCUUGGAUGAGUUGCGAACGGGUGAGUAACGCGUAGGUAACCUGCCUUGUAGCGGGGGAUAACUAUUGGAAACGAUAGCUAAUACCGCAUAACAAUGGGUGACACAUGUCAUUUAUUUGAAAGGGGCAAUUGCUCCACUACAAGAUGGACCUGCGUUGUAUUAGCUAGUAGGUGAGGUAACGGCUCACCUAGGCGACGAUACAUAGCCGACCUGAGAGGGUGAUCGGCCACACGUGGGACUGAGACACGGCCCAGACCUCCGUACGGGAGGCAGCAGGUAGGGAAUCGUUCGGCGAAGUCGGGGGACAACCCGUGACCGAGACAACGCCGCGUGAGUGAAGUAAGGUUUCGAGUACGUAAAGCUACGUGUUA
rnacentral:rRNA from 1 species